rnacentral:rRNA from 1 species
GUGUCAGCCGCCGCGGUAAUACGUAGGUGGCAAGCGUUGUCCGGAAUCAUUGGGCGUAAAGAGCGCGUAGGUGGCUUGUCAGGUCUGAUGUGAAAUCUCGGGGCUCAACCCCGAACGUGCAUCGGAAACCGGCUUGCUAGAGUCUGGGAGAGGAGAGUGGAAUUCCUGGUGUAGCGGUGAAAUGCGUAGAUAUCAGGAGGAACACCGGUAGCGAAGGCGGCUCUCUGGAACAGUACUGACGCUGAGGCGCGAAAGCUAGGGGAGCGAACAGGAUUAGAUACCCCUGUAGUCC